GUGAGAAAUCUUUGAAAAAGAAGAGGAAUUUCAAAUGAAUAUGAAAAGUGUAUAUAGUGUGUACAUGUCAUGUGUCACAACGUCCACAGAAGGUGGCGUCUCUCCCGGGUCGGGCGGCGCUCGGCUGUCGUCGUCGUCGCCGGCCUAUUAGCUGCCACCGAUCUCUGUUUCUGUGUCAUUUGGUUAUGUCUGUUUUGGUUAGCACCUGUUUUGUGUUAGGUCGUUAGUGGGGUAUUUAGUCUGUCUGUUUUUGUUGAGGUUUGUGCGGGGUUAUUUUCGUGUCGCCCUAUUAGUAGGUUGGGGGAUUUGGUCGUCCUCUGUCACUGUCAUUUUGGGCAUUAGGGUUGCGUCCCGACUCUUUUCAGGAUUAUCUUGUUCCUGUUGUUUUGGAGUAUUGUUGCCCUGCCUUGUUUUGGUAUUUGUGGACUUAUUCAUUAAACGUGUUUUCACGUACCUCGGGUCUCCUGCGCCUGACUUCACCCUCCUGCUAUUUAGAGUGGUCUUGACAUGUCUCAAAAUCGAUGUCCAUCUUACCUCUAUAUUAUUUUAUGUCCUGUGUAUUCGAGAAGAAAGAUGACGAUUUCAACGGGAAAGUGAGCCUGUCAGACCCAAUCAUCACAGCUGGAAGCCUGUACAGUACUCAAUGCCCACUGAUCAGAACUGCACACUACAUUGGAUUUGUGUGAGGUGACUGACUGAGGAGGCAGGUGGUCUACAGCAGGGAGCCUGCAUAGGAGUGGAGAGAAGAGGAGAAGAGAGGACAGAAGAGGAGAGAUGAGAUGAAAGGGGAGAGGACAUAGUUUGAAGAGGAGAGGAGAGGAGAGGUGAUGAAAGAGGAGACGGUGGUUUGAACAUGAUUUUGGUUAGUAGAGCCUUCCUGGUUGGAGCUCAAAUGUGCACAC
rnacentral:lncRNA from 1 species